AUGGGCCUGGAUGAGAAGAGCGUGGCCAUCGUGGGCGCCGGCGUGAGUGGCCUGGCGGCGUGCAAGCACCUGCUGGAGCGCGGCUGCCGGCCGGUGGUCUUUGAUGCGGGCGACGCCGUCGGGGGCGUGUGGCCGAACGCCAUGGAGGGGACCAGGCUCCAGGCGCCACGGCACAUGUAUCGCUACUCCGACUUCCCCUGGCCGGACUCCGUGACGGAGAUGUUCCCCAACCAGCGCCAGGUCGCCGACUACCUCCACGCCUACGCGCGCCGCUUCGGCGUGCUCGACUGCGUCAGGCUCGGCCACCGCGUGACCAGCAUGGAGUACGUCGGCGUCGCAGAGGAGGAGGUGGUGGCGUGGGAGGAGUGGGCCGGCUGCGGCCAGGCGUUCGGCUCCGGCGACGGGGAGUGGCGCCUCACGGUGGCCGACGACGAAGGUCACAUAGAGGUAUCGACAUGA
rnacentral:rRNA from 1 species